CUACGGGCGGCUGCAGUGGGGAAUAUUGCACAAUGGGCGCAAGCCUGAUGCAGCCAUGCCGCGUGUAUGAAGAAGGCCUUCGGGUUGUAAAGUACUUUCAGCGGGGAGGAAGGGAGUAAAGUUAAUACCUUUGCUCAUUGACGUUACCCGCAGAAGAAGCACCGGCUAACUCCGUGCCAGCAGCCGCGGUAAUACGGAGGGUGCAAGCGUUAAUCGGAAUUACUGGGCGUAAAGCGCACGCAGGCGGUUUGUUAAGUCAGAUGUGAAAUCCCCGGGCUCAACCUGGGAACUGCAUCUGAUACUGGCAAGCUUGAGUCUCGUAGAGGGGGGUAGAAUUCCAGGUGUAGCGGUGAAAUGCGUAGAGAUCUGGAGGAAUACCGGUGGCGAAGGCGGCCCCCCGGACGAAGACUGACGCUCAGGUGCGAAAGCGUGGGGAGCAAACAGGAUUAGAUACCCGAGCAGUC
rnacentral:rRNA from 1 species